AAUGAACGCUGGUGGCAGACCUAACACAUGCAAGUCGAACGGUCUAUAUUAAACUUCGGUUUUUUAUAGAUAGUGGCAAACGGGUGAGUAAAGCAUGGGAAUCUACCUAGAAGUUUGGAAUAGCUAUUAGAAAUGAUAGAUAAUACCAAAUACACCUCGAGAGGGAAAGUUGACUUCGGUCUUCGCUUUUAGAUGAGCCCAUGUUAAAUUAGUUAGUUGGUAGGGUAAUGGCCUACCAAGAUGAUGAUUUAUAGCUGGUCUUAGAGGAUGAUCAGCCACACUGGAAUUGAGAUACGGUCCAGACUCCUACGGGAGGCAGCAGUGGGGAAUAUUGCACAAUGGAGGAAACUCUGAUGCAGCCAUGCCGCGUGAGUGAUGACGGUCUUAGGAUUGUAAAGCUCUUUCAGUGGUGAUGAUAAUGACAGUAGCCACAGAAGAAGCCCCGG
rnacentral:rRNA from 1 species